GACGAACGCUGGCGGCGUGCUUAACACAUGCAAGUCGAACGGAAAGGCCCUGCUUGUGUGGGGUGCUCGAGUGGCGAACGGGUGAGUAACACGUGAGUAACCUGGCCUUGACUUUGGGAUAACUUCAGGAAACUGGGGCUAAUACCGGAUAGGAGCUCCUGCUGCUUGGUGGGGGUUGGAAAGUUUCGGCGGUUGUGGAUGUACUCGCGGCUUAUCAGCUUGUUGGUGGGGUAGUGGCUUACCAAGGCUUUGACGGGUAGCCGGCCUGAGAGGGUGAACGGCCACAUUGGGACUGCGAUACGGACCAGACUCGUACGGGAGGCAGCAGGGGGGAAUCUUGCACAAUGGGCGGAAGCCUGAUGCAGCAACGCCGCGUGCGGGAUGACGGCCUUCGGGUUGUAAACCGCUUUCGCCUGUGACGAAGCGUGAGUGACGGUAAUGGGUAAAGAAGCACCGGCUAACUACGUG
rnacentral:rRNA from 1 species